rnacentral:rRNA from 1 species
CAGGCCUAACACAUGCAAGUCGAGCGGUAACAGGGGGUGCUUGCACCCCGCUGACGAGCGGCGGACGGGUGAGUAAUGCAUAGGAAUCUGCCCGAUAGUGGGGGAUAACCUGGGGAAACCCAGGCUAAUACCGCAUACGUCCUACGGGAGAAAGGGGGCUCCGGCUCCCGCUAUCGGAUGAGCCUAUGUCGGAUUAGCUAGUUGGUGAGGUAAAGGCUCACCAAGGCGACGAUCCGUAGCUGGUCUGAGAGGAUGAUCAGCCACAUCGGGACUGAGACACGGCCCGAACUCCUACGGGAGGCAGCAGUGGGGAAUAUUGGACAAUGGGGGGAACCCUGAUCCAGCCAUGCCGCGUGUGUGAAGAAGGCCCUCGGGUUGUAAAGCACUUUCAGUGAGGAAGAACGCCUGGUGGUUAAUACCCAUCAGGAAAGACAUCACUCACAGAAGAAGCACCGGCUAACUCCGUGCCAGCAGCCGCGGUAAUACGGAGGGUGCGAGCGUUAAUCGGAAUUACUGGGCGUAAAGCGCGCGUAGGUGGCUUGAUAAGCCGGUUGUGAAAGCCCCGGGCUCAACCUGGGAACGGCAUCCGGAACUGUCAAGCUAGAGUGCAGGAGAGGAAGGUAGAAUUCCCGGUGUAGCGGUGAAAUGCGUAGAGAUCGGGAGGAAUACCAGUGGCGAAGGCGGCCUUCUGGACUGACACUGACACUGAGGUGCGAAAGCGUGGGUAGCAAACAGGAUUAGAUACCCUGGUAGUCCACGCCGUAAACGAUGUCGACCAGCCGUUGGGUGCCUAGCGCACUUUGUGGCGAAGUUAACGCGAUAAGUCGACCGCCU